GACGAACGCUGGCGGCGUGCCUAAUACAUGCAAGUAGAACGCUGAAGGAGGAGCUUGCUCUUCUGGAUGAGUUGCGAACGGGUGAGUAACGCGUAGGUAACCUGCCUGGUAGCGGGGGAUAACUAUUGGAAACGAUAGCUAAUACCGCAUAAGAGUAGAUGUUGCAUGACAUUUACUUAAAAGGUGCAAUUGCAUCACUACCAGAUGGACCUGCGUUGUAUUAGCUAGUUGGUGGGGUAACGGCUUACCAAGGCGACGAUACAUAGCCGACCUGAGAGGGGGAUCGGCCACACUGGGACUGAGACACGGCCCAGACUCCUACGGGAGGCAGCAGUAGGGAAUCUUCGGCAAUGGACGGAAGUCUGAACGAGCAACGCCGCGUGAGUGAAGAAGGUUUUCGGAUCGUAAAGCUCUGUUGUAAGAGAAGAACGAGUGUGAGAGUGGAAAGUUCACACUGUGACGGUAUCUUACCAGAAAGGGACGGCUAACUACGUG
rnacentral:rRNA from 1 species